rnacentral:tRNA from 1 species
UGAGAUUGUAGCUCAGUGGUAGAGCACUCGCCUAGCAUGUGUAAGGCACUGAGUUCAAUCUUCAGCACCACAA